rnacentral:rRNA from 1 species
GACGAACGCUGGCGGCGUGCUUAACACAUGCAAGUCGUACGGUAAGGCCCUUUCGGGGGUACACGAGUGGCGAACGGGUGAGUAACACGUGAGUAACCUGCCCACAACUUUGGGAUAACGCUAGGAAACUGGUGCUAAUACUGGAUAUGUGCUCCUGCUGCAUGGUGGGGGUUGGAAAGCUCCGGCGGUUGUGGAUGGACUCGCGGCCUAUCAGCUUGUUGGUGGGGUAGUGGCCUACCAAGGCGGCGACGGGUAGCCGGCCUGAGAGGGUGACCGGCAAUAUUGGGACUGAGAUACGGCCCAGACUCCUACGGGAGGCAGCAGUGGGGAAGAUUGCACAAUGGGCGCAAGCCGGAUGCAGCAACGCCGCGUGCGGGAUGACGGCCUUCGGGUUGUAAACCGCUUUCAGCAGGGACGAAGCUUUUUGUGACGGUACCUGCAGAAGAAGCACCGGCUAACUACGUG